GAUGAACGCUGGCGGCGUGCCUAAUACAUGCAAGUCGAGCGAACAGACGAGGAGCUUGCUCCUCUGACGUUAGCGGCGGACGGGUGAGUAACACGUGGAUAACCUACCUAUAAGACUGGGAUAACUUCGGGAGACCGGAGCUAAUACCGGAUAAUAUAUUGAACCGCAUGGUUCAAUAGUGAAAGACGGUUUUGCUGUCACUUAUAGAUGGAUCCGCGCCGCAUUAGCUAGUUGGUAAGGUAACGGCUUACCAAGGCAACGAUGCGUAGCCGACCUGAGAGGGUGAUCGGCCACACUGGAACUGAGACACGGUCCAGACUCCUACGGGAGGCAGCAGUAGGGAAUCUUCCGCAAUGGGCGAAAGCUUGACGGAGCAACGCCGCGUGAGUGAUGAAGGUCUUCGGAUCGUAAACCUCUGUUAUUAGGGAAGAACAAAUGUGUAAGUAACUAUGCACGUCUUGACGGUACCUAAUCAGAAAGCCACGGCUAACUACGUG
rnacentral:rRNA from 1 species